ensembl:misc_RNA Metazoa_SRP Metazoan signal recognition particle RNA
GCCGGGUGUGGUGGUGCAUGCCUGUAAUCCCAGCUACUUGGGAGGCUGAGGUAGGAGAAUCACUUGAACCCAGGAGGCGGAGGUUGCAGUGAGCCCAGAUUUCACCACUGCACUCCAGCCUGGGUGACAGAGCAAGAUCCUGUCUCCA